rnacentral:rRNA from 1 species
CCUACGGGAGGCAGCAGUGGGGAAUUUUGGACAAUGGACGCAAGUCUGAUCCAGCCAUGCCGCGUGUGGGAAGAAGGCCUUCGGGUUGUAAACCACUUUUGUCAGGGAAGAAACGGCUCACUCUAAUACAGAGGGCUAAUGACGGUACCUGAAGAAUAAGCACCGGCUAACUACGUGCCAGCAGCCGCGGUAAUACGUAGGGUGCAAGCGUUAAUCGGAAUUACUGGGCGUAAAGCGUGCGCAGGCGGUUAUGCAAGACAGAUGUGAAAUCCCCGGGCUCAACCUGGGAACUGCAUUUGUGACUGCAUGGCUAGAGUACGGUAGAGGGGGAUGGAAUUCCGCGUGUAGCAGUGAAAUGCGUAGAUAUGCGGAGGAACACCGAUGGCGAAGGCAAUCCCCUGGACCUGUACUGACGCUCAUGCACGAAAGCGUGGGGAGCAAACAGGAUUAGAUACCCUGGUAGUCCACGCCCUAAACGAUGUCAACUGGUUGUUGGGAGGGUUUCUUCUCAGUAACGUAGCUAACGCGUGAAGUUGACCGCCUGGGGNGUACGGCGCGAGUAGAACGACGAAGUAGAGUAGAGGCGUGAGACGUAGACGACGGACGACGACGAGGGGAGGAGG